AAGUCCAUAACGAGCGCAACCCUUACUGUUAGUUGCCAGCGGGUCAAGCCGGGAACUCUAACGGGACUGCCACCGUAAGGUGAGAGGAAGGUGGGGAUGACGUCAAAUCAGCACGGCCCUUAUGUCCAGGGCUACACACGUGUUACAAUGGUCGGUACAGAGGGCAGCUACCUGGAGACAGGAUGCGAAUCUCGAAAGCCGGUCUCAGUUCGGAUCGGAGUCUGCAACUCGACUCCGUGAAGCUGGAUUCGCUAGUAAUCGCGCAUCAGCCAUGGCGCGGUGAAUACGUUCCCGGGCCUU
rnacentral:rRNA from 1 species